rnacentral:rRNA from 1 species
UACGGAGGGUGCAAGCGUUAUCCGGAUUCACUGGGUUUAAAGGGUGCGUAGGUGGGCAGGUAAGUCAGUGGUGAAAUCUCCGGGCUUAACCCGGAAACUGCCAUUGAUACUAUCUGUCUUGAAUACCGUGGGAGGUGAGCGGAAUAUGUCAUGUAGCGGUGAAAUGCUUAGAUAUGACAUAGAACACCAAUUGCGAAGGCAGCUCACUACACGAAUAUUGACACUGAGGCACGAAAGCGUGGGGAUCAAACAGGA